rnacentral:rRNA from 1 species
AAGCUCGUAGUUGAAUUUCGGGGUUUACUCAUUGGUCAGGCUUAAUUGUCUGUACUGGUGAGAUAAAUCUCUACCUUCUGAGGAACUUUCAUGUCAUUAAUUUGAUGUGAUUGGAAAUCAGGACUGUUACUUUGAAAAAAUUAGAGUGUUUAAAGCAGGCUAAAGUCUGAAUACAUUAGCAUGGAAUAAUGAAAUAGGACGGACUGAUUCUAUUUCGUUGGUUUCUAGGAUCACCGUAAUGAUUAAUAGGGAUAGUUGGGGGCAUUAGUAUUCAAUUGUCAGAGGUGAAAUUCUUGGAUUUAUUGAAGACUAACUACUGCGAAAGCAUUUGCCAAGGAUGUUUUCAUUAAUCAAGAACGAAAGUUAGGGGAUCGAAGACGAUCAGAUACCGUCGUAGUCUUAACCAUAAACUAUGCCGACUAGGGAUCGGACGAAGUUAAUUUUAUAAUGACGCGUUCGGCACCUUACGGGAAACCAAAGUGUUUGGGUUCCGGGGGGAGUAUGGUCGCAAGGCUGAAACUUAAAGGAAUUGACGGAAGGGCACCACCAGGGGUGGAGCCUGCGGCUUAAUUUGACUCAACACGGGGAAACUCACCAGGUCCAGACAUAGUAAGGAUUGACAGAUUGAGAGCUCUUUCUUGAUUCUAUGGGUG